GACGAACGCUGGCGGCGUGCUUAACACAUGCAAGUCGAACGCUGAAGCCCGGUGCUUGCACUGGGUGGAUGAGUGGCGAACGGGUGAGUAACACGUGAGCAACCUGCCCAUCACUCUGGGAUAAGCGCUGGAAACGGCGUCUAAUACUGGAUACGAGCAACCCAGGCAUCUGGAGUUGUUGGAAAGAUUUAUCGGUGGUGGAUGGGCUCGCGGCCUAUCAGCUGGUUGGUGGGGUAAUGGCCUACCAAGGCGACGACGGGUAGCCGGCCUGAGAGGGUGACCGGCCACACUGGGACUGAGACACGGCCCAGACUCCUACGGAGGCAGCAGUGGGGAAUAUUGCACAAUGGGCGCAAGCCUGAUGCAGCAACGCCGCGUGAGGGAUGACGGCCUCGG
rnacentral:rRNA from 1 species